UUCUUCUGAGGGCAAACCUGUCGAAAGGCAGGGACGCAAAGCCACCGGCCUACAGCACGCAAGUGCCACGGCAGCGGGGUUGCCAGC
rnacentral:ncRNA from 1 species